rnacentral:rRNA from 1 species
AAUGAACGCUGGCGGCGUGCCUAACACAUGCAAGUCGAGCGAGAAAGUUCUUCGGAACGAGUAAAGCGGCGAACGGGUGCCUAACACGUGAGAACCUACCUUUUUGUGGAGAAUACCACCGGGAAACUGGUGUUAAUACUGCAUAAGUCCCUACGGGGAGAAAGACGGCCUCUUGCUGUCGCAGAAAGAUGGGCUCGCGGGCUAUUAGCUAGUUGGUGGGGUAAAGGCCUACCAAGGCGAUGAUGGCUAGCCGGUCUGAGAGGGUGUACGGCUACACUGGGACUGAGAUACGGCCCAGACUCCUACGGGUGGCAG